UAUAAACGCUAUAGAACUAAGAGAAGAAGUAUCUAAGUAGCAUCAA
rnacentral:sRNA from 1 species